UACGUAGGGGGCAAGCGUUGUCCGGAUUUAUUGGGCGUAAAGAGCGUGUAGGCGGCUGGGUAGGUCCGCUGUGAAAACUCGAGGCUCAACCUCGAGACGCCGAUGGAAACCAUCAGACUAGAGUCCGGAAGAGGAGAGUGGAAUUCCUGGUGUAGCGGUGAAAUGCGCAGAUAUCAGGAAGAACACCCGUGGCUAAGGCGGCUCUCUAGUACGGUACUGACGCUGAGACGCGAAAGCGUGGGGAGCGAACAGG
rnacentral:rRNA from 1 species